UAGGGUGACCACUCCAUCAGGUUUGCUGGGGACUACGGGAUUUCCCCGGGUGCACUAGAACCAACAAAGCCCUGGGCGAACUGGGACGAGUUGGUCACCCUAACUUGGC
rnacentral:miRNA from 1 species